rnacentral:rRNA from 1 species
AUUGAACGCUGGCGGCAGGCCUAACACAUGCAAGUCGAACGGUAGCACAGAGGAGCUUGCUCCUUGGGUGACGAGUGGCGGACGGGUGAGUAAUGUCUGGGAAACUGCCCGAUGGAGGGGGAUAACUACUGGAAACGGUAGCUAAUACCGCAUAACGUCGCAAGACCAAAGAGGGGGACCUUCGGGCCUCUUGCCAUCGGAUGUGCCCAGAUGGGAUUAGCUAGUAGGUGGGGUAACGGCUCACCUAGGCGACGAUCCCUAGCUGGGCUGAGAGGAUGACCAGCCACACUGGAACUGAGACACGGUCCAAACUCCUACGGGAGGCAGCAGUGGGGAAUAUUGCACAAUGGGCGCAAGCCUGAUGCAGCCAUGCCGCGUGUAUGAAGAAGGCCUUCGGGUUGUAAAGUACUUUCAGCGAGGAGGAAGGCGUUGUGGUUAAUAACCGCAACGAUUGACGUUACUCGCAGAAGAAGCACCGGCUAACUCCGUGCCAGCCGCCGCAGUAA